AUGCGUCGGGUGGUGCGGGAGCGCUUCCCCGAUCGCGACGAGUGGGGGAGAUUCACAUGCACAUCCUCCGCCACGCGAACUUCGUCGAGCGCGCGCGCUUCAUCGGCUGCGAGGAUGUGGAGCUGCUGUUUUGGGCGAUCCAAGAGGCGGAGUCACCGGAUCCACGGCAGGCCGCCCGCUGGGAGAACUUCAGGACGGCGAAUCCUUCGAGGCUCAACAUCAGGCCACCAUCGUGGGAGGGGAUCGCCAACAUCCCCCCGGAGUUCAUCCCGCCGGGGACCGUUUGGCCCCCACGCCGCCAGUAGAUCGGCUGCCCCGACUGGUUCAGACACAGCGACGACCCAUCGAUCCCCCGCCUUGGCCUGGGGAGAAGAUGACGAAGUAUACGAUGUGUUUUGGACCUGUUGGGGGCAAUGA
rnacentral:rRNA from 1 species